GACGAACGCUGGCGGCGUGCUUAACACAUGCAAGUCGAACGAUGAACCCGGAGCUUGCUCCGGCGGAUUAGUGGCGAACGGGUGAGUAACACGUGAGUAACCUGCCCUUGACUCUGGGAUAACUGCUAGAAAUGGUAGCUAAUACCGGAUACGACCCUCGGUGGCAUCACCAGGGGGUGGAAAGAAUUUCGGUCAAGGAUGGACUCGCGGCCGAUCAGCUAGUUGGUGAGGUAACGGCUCACCAAGGCGACGACGGGUAGCCGGCCUGGGAGGGUGACCGGCCACACUGGGACUGAGACACGGCCCAGACUCCUACGGGAGGCAGCAGUGGGGAAUAUUGCACAAUGGGCGCAAGCCUGAUGCAGCAACGCCGCGUGAGGGAUGACGGCCUUCGGGUUGUAAACCUCUUUCAGUAGGGAAGAAGCGAAAGUGACGGUACCUGCAGAAAAAGCACCGGCUAACUACGUGCCAGCCGCCGCCGUAA
rnacentral:rRNA from 1 species